rnacentral:rRNA from 1 species
GAUGAACGCUAGCUACAGGCUUAACACAUGCAAGUCGAGGGGAAACGAUAGAGAAAGCUUGCUUUUUCUAGGCGUCGACCGGCGCACGGGUGAGUAACGCGUAUCCAACCUGCCCAUCACUUGGGGAUAACCUUGCGAAAGUAAGACUAAUACCCAAUGAUAUCUCUAGAAGACAUCUGAAAGAGAUUAAAGAUUUAUCGGUGAUGGAUGGGGAUGCGUCUGAUUAGCUUGUUGGCGGGGUAACGGCCCACCAAGGCGACGAUCAGUAGGGGUUCUGAGAGGAAGGUCCCCCACAUUGGAACUGAGACACGGUCCAAACUCCUACGGGAGGCAGCAGUGAGGAAUAUUGGUCAAUGGACGAGAGUCUGAACCAGCCAAGUAGCGUGCAGGAUGACGGCCCUAUGGGUUGUAAACUGCUUUUAUAAGGGAAUAAAGUGAGUCUCGUGAGGCUUUUUGCAUGUACCUUAUGAAUAAGGACCGGCUAAUUCCGUGCCAGCAG